rnacentral:rRNA from 1 species
AGCGAACGCUGGCGGCAGGCUUAACACAUGCAAGUCGAGCGCCGUAGCAAUACGGAGCGGCAGACGGGUGAGUAACACGUGGGAACGUACCUUUUGGUUCGGAACAACUGAGGGAAACUUCAGCUAAUACCGGAUAAGCCCUUACGGGGAAAGAUUUAUCGCCGAAAGAUCGGCCCGCGUCUGAUUAGCUAGUUGGUGAGGUAAUGGCUCACCAAGGCGACGAUCAGUAGCUGGUCUGAGAGGAUGAUCAGCCACACUGGGACUGAGACACGGCCCAGACUCCUACGGGAGGCAGCAGUGGGGAAUAUUGGACAAUGGGCGCAAGCCUGAUCCAGCCAUGCCGCGUGAGUGAUGAAGGCCCUAGGGUUGUAAAGCUCUUUUGUGCGGGAAGAUAAUGACUGUACCGCAAGAAUAAGCCCCGGCUAACUUCGUGCCAGCAGCCGCGGUAAUAC